ACGGGAGGCAGCAGUGAGGAAUAUUGGUCAAUGGGCGGAAGCCUGAACCAGCCAAGUCGCGUGAAGGAAGACGGUAUUAUGUAUUGUAAACUUCUUUAGACGCAGAGAAAUAAUCGCCUCGUGAGGUGAGAUGCUAGUAUGCGUAGAAUAAGGAUCGGCUAACUCCGUGCCAGCAGCCGCGGUAAUACGGAGGAUCCGAGCGUUAUCCGGAUUUAUUGGGUUUAAAGGGUGCGCAGGCGGCGCUUUAAGUCAGUGGUCAAAUCGUGAGGCUCAACCUCAUCCCGCCAUUGAUACUGGAGCGCUUGAUUGCGGUUGAGGUAGGCGGAAUUCGUCGUGUAGCGGUGAAAUGCAUAGAUAUGACGAAGAACACCGAUUGCGUAGGCAGCUGACCAGGCCGUAAAUGACGCUCAUGCACGAAAGUGCGGGGAUCGAACAGGAUUAGAUACCCUGGUA
rnacentral:rRNA from 1 species